rnacentral:rRNA from 1 species
GAUGAACGCUGGCGGCGUGCCUAAUACAUGCAAGUCGAGCGAGCGGACGAGAAGCUUGCUUCUCUGAUGUUAGCGGCGGACGGGUGAGUAACACGUGGAUAACCUACCUAUAAGACUGGGAUAACUUCGGGAAACCGUAGCUAAUACCGGAUAAUAUUUUGAACCGCAUGGUUCAAAAGUGAAAGACGGUCUUGCUGUCACUUAUAGAUGGAUCCGCGCUGCAUUAGCUAGUUGGUAAGGUAACGGCUUACCAAGGCAACGAUGCAUAGCCGACCUGAGAGGGUGAUCGGCCACACUGGAACUGAGACACGGUCCAGACUCCUACGGGAGGCAGCAGUAGGGAAUCUUCCGCAAUGGGCGAAAGCCUGACGGAGCGACGCCGCGUGAGUGAUGAAGGUCUUCGGAUCGUAAAACUCUGUUAUUAGGGAAGAACAUAUGUGUAAGUAACUGUGCACAUCUUGACGGUACCUAAUCAGAAAGCCACGGCUAACUACGUG